UUAAUUGAAGAGUUUGAUCAUGGCUCAGAUUGAACGCUGGCGGCAGGCCUAACACAUGCAAGUCGAGCGGAAACGGCAGUAUUGAAGCUUCGGUGGAUUUACUGGACGUCGAGCGGCGGACGGGUGAGUAACGGCUGGGAACCUGCCCUGACGAGGGGGAUAACCGUUGGAAACGACGGC
rnacentral:rRNA from 2 species